GUCUACGGCCAUACCAUUCUGAAUGCCCCCGAUCUCGUCUGAUCUCGGAAGCCGAGGCACAUGAUAAUUAAAAUGUAAAAAAGUAAUAAGAGAGAAUGUUAAAAGUAGCAUGAA
rnacentral:rRNA from 1 species